rnacentral:rRNA from 1 species
GACGAACGCUGGCGGCGUGCUUAACACAUGCAAGUCGAACGGUAAGGCCCUUCGGGGUACACGAAUGGCGAACGGGUGAGUAACACGUGGGUGAUCUGCCCUGCACUUCGGGAUAAGCCUGGGAAACUGGGUCUAAUACCGGAUAGGACCAUUGCCUGCAUGGGUGGUGGUGGAAAGCUUUUGCGGUGUGGGAUGGGCCCGCGGCCUAUCAGCUUGUUGGCGGGGUGAUGGCCUACCAAGGCGACGACGGGUAGCCGGCCUGAGAGGGUGACCGGCCACACUGGGACUGAGAUACGGCCCAGACUCCUACGGGAGGCAGCAGUGGGGAAUAUUGCACAAUGGGCGCAAGCCUGAUGCAGCGACGCCGCGUGAGGGAUGACGGCCUUCGGGUUGUAAACCUCUUUCAGCACCGACGAAGCGCAAGUGACGGUAGGUGCAGAAGAAGGACCGGCCAACUACGUGCCAGCCGCCGCCGUAA